GCUACUUCUGUCUAAACUCCCUUCCAGGCUUGUUUUUCAUUUGCUUGUUUUGCUUUGCUUUAUUCAUGCAUUUAUAUGGUGUGUAUUUAGUGACCUCUAACUCACUAGGUUGUCAAGACUGUCCUUGAACACUGGUCUUCCUGCCUCCACCUCCAAGUGCUGUGGCUAUAGGCAUGCGCCACCAUUCUGUGCCAGUGUUUGUUGAAUCAUGGCCACAUUGCUCUUAUCUUUCCAAUCUUUCCCUUAGCCACGUCAUACCAUCCUCUUCUCUAUGUUCCAGUAAGAAAUCCCCAUUCGCUUCUCUCUUACAAGGAAAACUGUGAAUGCAUUGAGGAUACUCUUUCAUCUCAAAAAUCCUUAUCAUAAUCCACUGGUUCUCAGCCUGUGGGUUGAGACCCCCCCAUGGGGGUUCCAUAUCAGAUAUCUUUCAUAUCAGAUAUUUAUAUUAUGAUUCCAUAACAGUAGCAAUAUUUCAGUUAUAAAGUAGCAAUGAAAAUAAUGUUAUGGUUGGGGUCACCACAGCAUGAGGUACUAAAGGGUCACAGCAUUAGGAAGGUUGAGGACCACCACCUUAAUCACUCUUGUAGGAAUCCUUUGCCCCUUGCCAUACGAGCUGAUAUUCACAGAGUCCAUAAGUAAGGAUACGAAUAUCUUUUGCAAGACCAGUUUUUAGCCUAUUCCUAUGCCCCAAAUGAAAAUAGAAUUUGGAGAAUUGUUUUAACAAAUCUAAAGGGUGGGAGAUAAGACAGAGGGCAGCUACAGCUGCUCCAGAUGUGGAGAAAGCUGAAAGGAUGCAGUAUCUUCACAUCUAGUCAAUCCCUGGGACAUGUGGAGAUGUACAAAGGGGAUUCAAUGUGGUAAUGGGCUUAUAGAUUACAUCAUCCAUAAAGUCGCAUGAAAUGCCGUCUGCAAGCAGGAGUCCCGAGAAUGCCGAAUCUGAAGACCUAGGUCCCAGGGGAGCUGAUGGUGUGACUUCCAGUGUGAAGCUACAGGGCCACAGGAGAGGCCGAGCUGCCCGUGCAAAUCCUGGACUGCAAAUCUGGAGACCCUGAAGCACUGGUGUGGGAUGAACAAAUAUGACUAGACUUAUCUGAGAGUUGUUUACCCCUGACCUCUGCUGCCAAAAUCGAGGGAGUGGCCUCAAUCCAGAGGACGACUCUGCCCAGAACCAACCACUGAAAUCAAACCAAUGACAUUCAGCAAAUCCCCUGGGUCCCCAGAAUGGAUCCCUGCAUAUGUAUUACACAGUUCUAGAAGUCCGCAGACGUUUUCCUCUUGGCAAGCAGCAGUGGUGGGAUGGCACUGAGGACCAUGUGCGGAAUCUGAUCUGUCCUUCCACAGCCAGCAAGAUGGGAACCGGCUCACUGUGCUCUCUCACUGCGGCCUGGAGUGUGCAGCUAGACACCACGAGGAACAGUUUUCUCACUCUGUUGGGAAAGCUUAUCUCAGCCAUAUGACUCCAGCCAUAACUUAUUAAGCACGUACCAGGUGUUGAUGCAAUCAUUCCUUGUUUUGCCUCAUGCGGGCUCCUCAAGAUGAAUGAUCUCUUGGGGAUGUGCUAACUGCUGUAAGCAAGACCAGAGGUUUUAGGUGCUUAACAUAGUGACAGUUUCUUAGUCACAGCGGGACAGGUAGGACUUGGAGGACUCUUCCAGGCACAUCCAUGGGCUCCUGCUAUCAUAUGGCUUCUCCUUUUCCUAGGGUCUCGUGAAGACUAUGAAAGGGAUCAUGGGGUCUUAGGGGCCAGCUUGAAAAUGCUACAACCAUUCACGAUCCACUGAACUAGUUUCCUGGCUGCCUAGGUGUGAGGGGGCUGAGGUAUUCCUAUUAUAUGAUAAAUUGUAUGCCACCCUCCACUGCCUAUCACAACCCACACUCUGACACCAUUGACUCCAGAACCUCAGAAUGUGACCGUAUGUGGACUCAAGGCAUCAGAACAGCUGAUUAAAUUUGAAUGGGAUUGUUGGGGCAGGCCCUAAUCCAGUAUGACUGGUACCCUAACAAGAAUAGAUUUGAACAGCCAAGAGAUGCUAGGGCCUUAUACACAGAGAGGAACAGUCAUUUGAGCAUAAUAUGAAGACAGCUGUCAUGAACACUCUAUAUCAGAAACACAGAUGGAUGCGUUUUGUGUCAUUUCACACUGUCACAAUUUAUCGAGUAACAGUAAAUUCAUGAGUCAUGUUGGUGUCAUUGGCUGCAAUUUGCCAAGUAGUUCUGGUUCCCCUUGAGAACUGGCCAUGGGCAAUCAUAGGCUCUUUUAUCCUAAUCUUAAAUAGUAAAAUUAAUUCUUAUAUCACACAUUAUGCAUCUCACAAUCAUUAGAAUUCUCUUUGUAACCAUUACAAAAUAGUUACAAGAGGGUUGAAGAAGGCAUCAUGAUUCAGAGAGUUCACGAAUGUGGAGACAGGCAGAGAGUUGGUAUAGAGGCAGGGGAUUAGACAAGAGAGAUACUGAGGAGCCAGCCCUCUUAGAGAGCUGUUGGGGACUCAGAACCAAGCAACGGGAUUGCAGGAUUAAGGCCAACUGCAGGAUUAAGUCAAACCACAGAAGUACAAGACUAUGGAGGUCAUAAGAUCAAGGUAUAGGACUGGAGGACUGUGGAAGGGAGGGGCAAGACCAAACCCAAGAACAUAUGGAUGAAGAAACAGCAGUUCAGAUGGGCACUGUCAAGCAGUGAGAUGCAACUGAGCCGAUACCCGAGGGACACUUGACAGUUCUCCACCCGUCAAUGCCUUGAUGUACACUGAAGCAGGUAGAUGACAGGGCAGUGGGACCAGGUAUUAAGAACCCCCUGUUCAUGGGGUCCAGGUGGGGGUGUCCUACCUUCCAUCGGUACGGUGUAUUUGGUAAGUUCUUGGGCAUGAUUUUGAUGCUGUGGUUUUAAUUAAACCCAUGCACCAUGGUUUUAAUUACACUCGUGCUGACAUGAGUCCAGUAUGCUGGAGAAGUUUCUGUGUGCGAUCUUCUUACUUUCAAGAACAAGCUAUUUGUCAGAAUCCUGGGUGUUUGUGGUUCAUGGCUGGUGCUGGACAAGUGGUAGCAACUGCAUGCACAAUGACACACAAUCACCCAGCCUCUGGAUUUAUACUCAAAAAGGAGCCAGCUGCCCCUUGUAAAAUGGAGUCACCCCAGGGCACGGCAUAGGCUGAAGGCCACUGUUCUACACACUGUGGAGUUGCCAAGAUCAAGGCAUACCUGAUUUCCACAGUGGCAAUCUACAAACCAAUACCUUAAAACAAACCAAACUUUUUGUGACCCUUUCCACCUUAGACUUUUGACCUCCUAAACUAAGGAAACAAAUAUCUAUGAUUUAGCACACCCAGGCUGUAAUGUUUUGUUUCAGCAGCCUGCACUAACUAAUACAGUAUUUGCAGUGGGAACUCAGAGUAGGUGAGAUUAGCUGUUGGUGCUGUAGUCCACUGUAACGCAACGCCUCAUGCGCUAUGCCUGCACUACAGUACGACUCAUGAGUCAGGCAAGGGGCUAGAGAUUGAAACACACACACAUACACAGAGAGAGAGAGAGAGAGAGAGAGAGAGAGAGAGAGAGAGAGAGAGAGAGAGAGAGAGAGGAGUCAUCCUUGAAACAAGAAUGCCAAGAAUGCCCCCUCGAAUCAAGAAUGCCAACUUUAUUGUGUUCCAGGGCAGUUUAUAUAGUGCCUUCCCUGACCAAUGGCCACACCCUAGCUCUCCGGAUCCUUCAGCUGCAAGUCACCAGAAACCACUCCCCUCCCAUCCGGGUCUCGUGCUCAGAACAGCUGCAAACACAGGAAAACAAGCUGUUUUCUCCAGCAGGCAGGGGUCACAGGAAAUUCAGGAUCUGGGGGUCCACAGGCCCCAACAGUCCGCCCCCGAGUUUCCUUCCUCUUGCCCCUUCCCUCGCCAGUGAGGCUAAGCAUAGCUCCCAAGCCCCUGCAUCCAGCUGAACAUUUAGGAUCAUUGGGUAUGUUGGAUGAUCCACAGAUAUAAACACAGGCUCCUGGCUUCUUUGGCAAUGUGAUUCCUUCAAAAACUUGGGCUUCCAAUAGCUUUUAUUCUAACCAUUUCCAUGUAGUAACUACACAUAGAAUGCUCUUCUGGGUCAGCUUGCUGAUGUCAUUCUUUCUCAACCUAGCAGUGGCUGCCUUGAGACUCCCUGGCUUUGUAGGCAGGGUAUAGUCCCUGAAAUGGUUGUUUUGUCUCAGGACUAACUCACUAAGCUUAUCUGAGAAGAAAGAUUCAUUGGGUCUUAUUGCACAUAAUUUCUCUAUUUCUCUCUCUCUCUUUCUAAAAAAAAAUAGUGUCUUGGAAAGAAACCUUCAUUGUUAUGAGCCUCUGCAAUUUGGAGAUUAUUCCAAUAGCUCGUAAAUCCUUACUUACACAGGGCUUCCUUUUUUAUGGAGGAGUAAAAACUGAGACCAAAGGGGAAGUAUGUCCUAAGAGAGGCCCUCUGUUCCUGAUUCUGUUCUGUUUCCUUCUCACAGACUGACCAUUCAUUCUUCAUGGCAUUCAAGGUUUUCUUUUGGCCUCUUGCUGCAUGCAGUGCACAGGCAGUACCGGGACUAGCAUUCUUGUUUCCGGCUUGCAUCCUCUUCCCCUAGGCAUGGAUGACUUCCAGGUUAUCCCAGGCAGCACUGGGAUCUGGUACCCAAGCAUAGCACAGACCCUGGUCACACAGUUUAUCACAGGUUAUCCCAGGCAGCGCUGGGGUCUAGUACCCAAGCAUAGCACACAUCGUGGUCACACAGCUUGUCGCUGCUCCUCUCUAUCCAGCUUCAUAUGGUCAUUGUGUUACAGCAGAGGUUCUCAACCUGUGGAUCACGACCCUUCUGGGGGGUUGAAAGACCCUUUUAUAGGAGUUGUAUAUCAGAUAGCCCGAAUAUCAGAUAUUUAUGUUACAGUUCAUAACAGUGGAAACGUUACAGUUAUGAAUUACAAUGAAAUUAUUUGGGGGGUUAUCACCACAACAUGAGGAACUGUAUAUUUAUUAAGGGGUCGCAGUAUUAGGAAGGUUGAAAACCACUGUUUUAAAGGAACUUUUUUACUCAAAGAAAGAAAAAAAUUCUUGUAUUACUCAAGGAAGGGAAAUGCUGAAACAGACAGCUGUCAAAACUCAGUGAAUACAAAAUCAACUGUCCUUCUUCCUCAUGUCAUAGUGUGCGACUGAUUGGCUCAGGGGUCAAGAUGGAAGAAGAAGCAAGAGCUAUGUUCCACGCUGUCACUCAAGGGCCCAGGCUCCUCCCAUUGGGUGCAUGCAGAACUGGAUAAAGCGCUGGACUCCUUAUGGUUUGGGCAUUUAGUUGGCAGGUUAAGGAAGAAAGAUCAGAAGGAAGCUGUAAGAUUUUAAGGCAUGCUUUCUCCUUGCUAGGGCUUUUCUGAUGGUAAGAGCCUUUCUUUUCUCUUUUCUCUUUUCUCUUUUUCCUUUGGUUUUCAAGACAGGGUUUCUCUGUAGCUUUGGAACUACUUGCCCUGUUACUCUGCAUUUGGGCGAAUGUGCAAAUACUUGAAGAAUAGUGAGAAAGAUCUUCUUAGCCCACAGGCCAGGCCAAUAUUGCCAUGGGGGAGGGAAGAUCCUGGUAGCAUUGAGGGAGAAGCACCGAGUGACUUCCUUGAGCUAAAUAUGUACUCUUCAUUUAGAAUAUUUUCAUUGGGGUUGGCCAUUGAGGAACAACGUCUGCUCUAGCCACCAUGUCCUCUUCUGUGUUGCUCUCCCGAAUUCAAUGAUUUCUACUGGGCAGAGAAAGUUCGAAGCCUGUGGGGUGGCUGAGAGGCGACAUCACUGCUUCAACCUGUUUCCUGAGCACCCCUGGUGGUGGGGCCUGGCAGGAAGGCCUGGGGAGAGAUGCUGCCGAGGAGAAUGGACUCCCUGCCAUGCUCAUGGGAAAGCAGAGGAGACAAAACAAAUUCAUCAUGAAAAAUUAAACACUUGGAACAGGCUGGGAGACCAAACAAAUACAUAUGAUACAAUUGCUAUUGUAAGUGGCCUCUGGGGCUAAAAAGGAACUCGACAGAAGGCCUCAGCUGCAAGGCAGAGUCACCUGUCAUCCAUUUGGUGUCCUCCAUUGCAGACACACAGAGAUGGAUAUGAAGAGAGAAGGAGAUGAAGAAAGGCUUCAGAUGGGUUAGAAAUAAUAUCAUAGCUACUCCCACCGGAGGCAGACGCAGGUUAAGAUCUUUCCUGGUAAGCCAGCUCGUGGGCUACACAGAUUAUUAGAAAUGGGUUAGAUUAAUAUGUAAGAGCUAGCCAAUAAGUGGCUGGAACUAAUGGGCCAGGCAGUGUUUAAAAGAAGAAAUAAAAAGAAAUAAUAUCAUAGGUGAUGGACGACAGCGAGUCUAGAAAACCAGAAGACAUGAGAAAAUCAAUAGGAGAAAUUCCAUAAAGGGGGGAGGGAGGCAGGAUAGGUUAGAGGGAGGGAAGGGAGCAGGGAGCAGAGGAGAAAGAGGGGCGUAUAGGAGAGACCUCUGGGUACACACCGGAGUAGGUCUUCUGUAUGUUCAGAUCAUCAUAUCUCCUUCGUUUAUCUCCUAGUUUCAUUUUGAGUUCCCGAAGCUGCCAGUCCUUGGGCCUCAGAGCCUCCUCCCUCCACACAGCCCAGGUCCAUCUGGGGCCUCCCAGGAGCCCUUCAGUAGCAGUGUCUCUCUGGCAAGGGGGAAGAUGUGUGGGGAGUAGGGACCACUCUGAGAAGGCUGCUGUACUCUGUUCUACCUGACUCUUCAUUUCUGCCUUCCUUCCUCUACCACCCCACCCUGUGCUACCCCACAUCUGACAACCCUGGACUACCCACUGGUGAAUCAUGGAGCUCAACCCAUUCCUAUCUCUCCUGCAAACGGGGACCAAUGUCAUCUUGCUUGGCUGGAGUGAAAUUCAAGUGUGGGAGCUCCAGAGAUGCCUUGAAAGGAACCACAAUUCAAAGAGGUGAAUUUUGGUUGCACAAUGGGGUUAGUACCCAUCUUCUUCCUAUAACGGGGGUUUCUGGUGAGAUGCCUAGAAUUUGCAGGUUUACAACUCAGAAGGGAACAAGGUGUUAAGCAGUUGAUGCUAGAAUUCUUGCUUUUCUCCUGGUAUACUUGGGUCAGGGACUCAUUUCUUCCGUGCCUUCUCCCAAUUCUCCUGCCUCAGUCUUAUUUGUGAGAUUCCCAGAAAAUGUCUAGGAGAGUAGUGAGGCCAUACCUGAAGUUAUAUCUACUAAGACCUUCAUCUUGGUUCUUUGUUAUCUUAGCACUCUUAUUUGAAAAUACUUCUUUAUAAAUGAAAUAUUGCUUCAAUGUCCAAGAACCUUCACAGUAUAUGUUAAGUGAGAAUUGUUGAGUCUUAGCUGACAACAAACAUUAGCUAGCUUGCGGUGAGGGGCUCCCCCAUGCUAUGUCCCCAUGAUUUCCCUUUCUAUCCUGCCACAAUAUUAUGUUCCAGAGUUAGUCCAGAGUCCCAAGAGUGCCCUCACUUCAGACGGCAGGCACAAGGUCCAGGCAGCCUUCCUACAUACCUGGAGUUCACAUAAUCUCUUCAUAGGUUCAGUAAUUCACUAGAAGGAGUUAUGGCGCUCAGGAGACACCCAUGGUCAGCAGUUUACGGCUAGAUUACAAGGGACAUGUGUGCUUAAAGAGGGACAGAAAGGGCAGGAAGAAGGAAGUCUCUGACCUCAGGUAGGCGGGACCAUGUACAGGGUAAGACGCAUCUGGUCACACCCCAUGUGUGGAUGCAAAAUGCCCACAGAAGAAGGUGGGAUCCCUUAUAGGGGAGGAAAUGACUACCAUACCAUAUUUCUUUCUUUCCAGAGCAUCUUGGCCUGGCUGCAAGGGAAGCUGGGAAGUGUAGUCCUUAGCAGGAAACUACCCAGUGAAAGAACCCAGAACAGGCUUGCCUGGCAGGUGGUGUGUGUGUGUGUGUGUGUGUGUGUGUGUGUGUGCAGGUGGUACAGAACUUCCAUGGCUUUCACACCUUCAAUGGGCACACCAUCUCCCCAGAUCUCUUCUAUAACCCUCUCCCUAGCCCUCUCCCUCUGUGGAGAUUAGGGUGGAGCUAAAGUCUCUGGGCCUUUAAGGAUUCAUUCAGUCUGUUCUGGUGACCAGUCCUUCUGGGAAGCUAACCGGCCCAAUAUUGAGUCAUCUCAUUAGCAUGAACUCUGGUGACUUUUUAAAAAAAAAAAAAAGUCAUUAUGCAUAACAAAGCAUUCCUUAUCACACAGGAAAUUCCAAGGUGCCAGCAACAUGGGCACAGAGACCUGAUAAGGUUUUUAUUGUGCGUACAGCUAAACCCAGUGGAAGCCAAAGGUGAGUCAGCUAGGCUGACAGCCCCGAAGAAUCUCCUCCCAAGGCACAGGGAAGGGCGGAGAAGGGUGGAGGGAGGACCUGAGGACCAAGCAGAGAAUGUCCAGGACACCUUGUAUCACACACACCUGCCGUGCGGGACAUCUGGAUGUCUCCACCUUCCAGAGACCAGAUGAAGGAGGAGAGGCAGAGAUCACUGCAGCAGACUGGGUGAGAACCACACCUCAGGCACUUCAGCGGGGCAUUGUCCUAUUGCCCAGCCUGCAUGCCAUGGAGGCCGCACAGCUGCUUAGGGGGGACUCUGGUGCCAGCCCUCUUCCCAUGUAGCUGAGGGGUGGGCCUGUGCUGUGUCCUUAACUGGAUGUCCCUGUUCUGCUCUGGUUUUGUCCUAAUUGCUGUAACCCUUCUGGGACCAGCCCCUUUUGCCGGAGCAUCCCAAUGUCACAAUCCCCCAGGAGCAUCCCAAGGUCACAAUCCUGGGAGUCAUCUUGCUGCCAUUAUCUCGUUUCCCAAUCUGCUCCUAACCUGUGUUACAGAGAAUUGCAGCUUCCACUGAGAUGGGAUAGAAAGGGAAAAUUAUGGGGACCUGGGAAGGGAAAGUAGUCAUUACCUCACAGUCUGAUUGAAGCCUCUCGCCAGGUGAGAAUCAAGAAUGUCCACACAGUUAACACUUGUUUAGACUGUCCAGGCAAAAACAACAGUUCCCAACUCAAAGGUAAUGAGAGAAUCCGUUCUGGAGUAAAAGUAUGAGUGACCAUGGCCAGGAACAUGGAGCUGGUUGACCACAGGUGACCACGGAGCUGGGUGGGAGAGACCACAGGUUCCAUGCUCUAACGUGGAAACAGUUCAUGGGGUUUUUAAUGGCAACAGCACAGAGAAACGUAUAAAUCAAAGUGGUUUUAAAAUCAUCUGUGGAAAGGUUAAGUAGGCAGAGCAUGGUGGAGAACCCUCGGUUGUGGGCAUUAGCUGUUAUAGCAGUCUUAGCCCUGGUGUGGCGGACAACAGAGUUCUUCCACAUUAUUGCAUUGCAAAGAUUUCCACUAUUCUUAGGCUAUCAGGCCUGCAAAUGGCAGGACGUCAGGUCUGGCGCAGCCAGGGAGAGGGAUGGCUGCUUAUUAGGGCCGAUGAUCACAUAAACUGCAAUUUGGCUUGAAACUGCACAGUUCCAACCCCUCCACCUAUUUGAAGGCCUAAUGAGUUAAUCUGCCAAUGUAGACAACUUCUUUCCAGGAAUUCUCAUCACAAGGCCUUUCUCCCUUCAGAAACCAGCUCUAGGCCAACAGUUUUUCCAGGAAUCUCCCGAGAAACCCUAUUUACAGAAAGAGAUGUGACCCAGCCUUCCACACAACCCGAGUGGCUCCUGGGUUUACUUGAUCAGAUUACAGUCCCAUGCAAGCAUCAGAGCCACCCUGUCAUCGCACUUACCAACAAGAGAAGGAAAAGAACAACAUUUUGAGAUGUAACUCGAGAGCCAGCAAAAUGGUGUGCAUGGCUAGUGCUAACACACUUAGUUGUGUCUCUGUCGAGGAGCCCACAGUGAGUGCACUUGGGUCUGUCUUAUUCUUUUCUAGGACACCUCUCUCUGUUAUCGUCCGUGCUUAAAUCUAUGUUAGAAAUCUUUUAACAUGGAGAAGUUAAGCUGGAACGGGCCUGAAAGCUUCCUCCCUGUUGACUAGCGUUCCUAGUGAUGAAUGAGAAAACUGCCAUGGGAGAGAAGACAUCAGGGCAUCCUGCAGCCGACACUGCUUGUUACAUACAAUACUGACCUGCCAGACAAGAUCUUCCAACCGGGGCAAUAGUGGCGUGAAUGCUGUGGAGGUAACCACUGCCUCUGAGUUGGAUUUAAGGCCUGCUUUCUAGGAAGGAAUUCAAGCCUGGUACCAUUAACCUGGCCCAAAGCCUGUGACUCAAGAAAUUACAGGCCCUAGGAAGGAGCCCAUUACUGUUGUUUUGCUAAAUGGACACACUGUUGAGAGCUUUCUAAAUGUUUAUGUUUAUACACACAGUGCUGCCCUCAACCUUAGUUCAAGAAGCUUCUCUCUGUAGUGGUCAGCAGUUAAGUGCUGAGAAGGCUUAUCUCUAAAUGGGCAACUCCUUCCCACCACCUUGAGGCUUAGGGAACACUGGAGAUGGGCAGAAAGAAGGUAAGAGCCAGAGGAUGAGGAGGAGGGCUAUGAAAUGCUGUCUGUAGGACACAAUGUGGCCAUUACACCCAUGAAUUCAUUGCAGAUACAGUAAGCUGCACAGGACCUGAACAAGAUUAGGCCAACAAGGCCAGUCGCCAUUCCAGCUAGCAGUGCUAAUGGGACUCAGGGGGCUACUAAAAAGAAAGGAAAAGACAUAAAGAGGGAAGGGGGAUAUGCUGGGUAUUCUUAGGGGAGUGGGAAAGGGGAGUCAGGGAUGCACAAAGAUGCAUUGUUUAUAUCGAAACUGUCAAAGAAUAAAACCUACUGUAUUAACAUAUCUUCUAAUAAACUACAAGUUUUCUUUGAGAAGUUGACAACCAUGAUGUGAACUCUUUUCUUUCUCUCUGAGCGCCUUUCUAUUUUCUUUCUUUCUUUCUUUCUUUCUUUCUUUCUUUCUUUCUUUCUUUCUGUUUGUUUAUUUUCUUUGAGACAGUCUCACUGUGUACCCAUGGCUAACCUGGAUAUAUACCAGGCUGAGCUUCAGCUCACGGAGAUCCUCUUGCUUCUGCCUCCCCAGAGCCAAGAGUAAAGGCUGGACCACCACAUCUACCUUUCUCAUU